AACCCUGUAGUUCAACCGGAUAGAACGAAAGCCUCCUAAGCUUUAAAUCCCGGUUCAAGUCCGGGCGGGGUUA
rnacentral:tRNA from 2 species